rnacentral:rRNA from 1 species
UACGUAGGGGGCAAGCGUUGUCCGGAUUUAUUGGGCGUAAAGAGCGUGUAGGCGGCCAAGCAGGUCCGCUGUGAAAACUCGAGGCUCAACCUCGAGACGUCGGUGGAAACCAUCAGACUAGAGUCCGGAAGAGGAGAGUGGAAUUCCUGGUGUAGCGGUGAAAUGCGCAGAUAUCAGGAAGAACACCCGUGGCUAAGGCGGCUCUCUAGUACGGUACUGACGCUGAGACGCGAAAGCGUGGGGAGCGAACAGG